rnacentral:rRNA from 1 species
AUUGAACGCUGGCGGCAGGCCUAACACAUGCAAGUCGAGCGGAUGAAGGGAGCUUGCUCCUGGAUUCAGCGGCGGACGGGUGAGUAAUGCCUAGGAAUCUGCCUGGUAGUGGGGGAUAACGUCCGGAAACGGGCGCUAAUACCGCAUACGUCCUGAGGGAGAAAGUGGGGGAUCUUCGGACCUCACGCUAUCAGAUGAGCCUAGGUCGGAUUAGCUAGUUGGUGGGGUAAAGGCCUACCAAGGCGACGAUCCGUAACUGGUCUGAGAGGAUGAUCAGUCACACUGGAACUGAGACACGGUCCAGACUCCUACGGGAGGCAGCAGUGGGGAAUAUUGCACAAUGGGCGAAAGCCUGACCCAGCCAUGCCGCGUGUGUGAAGAAGGUCUUCGGAUUGUAAAGCACUUUUAGUUGGGAGGAAGGGCAGUAAGUUAAUACCUUGCUGUUUUGACGUUACCAACAGAAUAAGCACCGGCUAACUUCGUG